rnacentral:rRNA from 1 species
AUUGAACGCUGGCGGCAGGCCUAACACAUGCAAGUCGAGCGGAUGAAGGGAGCUUGCUCCUGGAUUCAGCGGCGGACGGGUGAGUAAUGCCUAGGAGUCUGCCUGGUAGUGGGGGAUAACGUCCGGAAAUGGGCGCUAAUACCGCAUACGUCCUGAGGGAGAAAGUGGGGGAUCUUCGGACCUCACGCUAUCAGAUGAGCCUAGGUCGGAUUAGCUAGUUGGUGGGGUAAAGGCCUACCAAGGCGACGAUCCGUAACUGGUCUGAGAGGAUGAUCAGUCACACUGGAACUGAGACACGGUCCAGACUCCUACGGGAGGCAGCAGUGGGGAAUAUUGGACAAUGGGCGAAAGCCUGAUCCAGCCAUGCCGCGUGUGUGAAGAAGGUCUUCGGAUUGUAAAGCACUUUAAGUUGGGAGGAAGGGCAGUAAGUUAAUACCUUGCUGUUUUGACGUUACCAACAGAAUAAGCACCGGCUAACUUCGUG